CCUAGCCUGGUACCCGAGGCCUUCCGAUGUUCAAAGAACGAAGGCCAGGCAUCGGAUGUCGAAUGGAUUCUUCCACUGAUCAAAAUCCAAUAUGGCGGACUCAAUGAUGAAUUUCCAUACAUAUGGAAAGAAGAAACACAUGAUAGUAGAUGAAAAAACACCCUCAUAUAUAAUGCUUCAUGAAUAUGCAAAACCAUGCCAACAGACUCCAGAUGGAAAAAGACAUCGAGAAAGAAAUUCUAAAGGGGUAUUCAAGGACCCAUCCUCCUCCACACUAAUUCAUAUUGGAAGGAAUUAACAUCCAACUUGAAUGAAGAAUUACAGACUUCCAGAACAGACCCUUUAAAAAAGGAGAAGCCAGAUCUUCAUAAGACUUCCUUAAAAAUGAGAUUUUUUUGAGUGGAAGUGAAGAAUAUGGGAUGCAUACAAGCAGACAUCAGCAUUCCCUCCCUCUUGUUUGUAUCAGAGGUGAGCUUUUUGAGAAAGACUUAUGGAGGAAGUUUGAGAGUGUCAGUUCUCAAAUCAAGAAGUUAGCUAACAGUAGGAGGAGUAGUAAUUCAUUCCACUGUAUGGCCAGAGAAAUAUAUGACAUAAAAGACCCGAAAAAGGAGAUUUGGCAUUAUUUCAUGUGGAAAUUGAAGAAUCUUUGAAAUGGAUACAUGCAACACAGACAUGUUUCAGUUACUUGGGGAUAAAACUUAUGAGGAAUUUUGCUAACUUUCAGAUGGGAAUGUGUUGCACAAGAAAUGCUUGAUCACAACCUUCUUUUAUUAGAAACCUUUUCUAUGCAAAUAAUUAUUUUAAAUGAAAUUUAGCUAUUUCAUUAGACUAGUAAACAUGUUUUCUGUGCAAGUGUGUGUCUUUGACAUUAAAUGCUAUGAUAUAUUGAA